rnacentral:rRNA from 1 species
AUGGUCCACAAUUAUAACAUAAGUUCCAUGUGUCCUGAGAACAAUUCCAUGGCCCCACUAUCACUUACUAUUGUGUCCCAUGCCAUGAUAUGUAGUAAGUGUGUGCUUAACUCAUAUACAGACCUACACCAACAACUAUAUAUGCACCUUUCUAUCUUUUUAUACCCUAGUGCUACCGUGCAACAGCACAAGAUGCAAUUUCCAGUUCUCAUGUUUCUGGAUUUAGUUGUGGAGGGUGGGCCGAGAAGAGGAAGAAUGAGAGGGUCCAAGAGUAAUAUGAAUGGGAACAUCGAGGAAAGCGUGAGCUUUGUAGAUUUCCUUUGCUUACAAUGGAGAGAUCUUGCUCUGUGUUUUUCCGAUGCCUCCGAUUCCUAUUGUUCUUGGGUGCUCCUUCCCUUCCUUUUGGCUUCCACAUCAAACAACCUAUGUAUAAAUUUAGAUGAUAGAAUCUUGAUAAUAGGCAAGAAAGAGGAAGAAAAGAGGGUCUAA